AGGGCAGCACAAGCUGAACAUUUCUGCAGUUACCUGACGUGGCACUUGUGCUGUGCGUAUUUCUUUCAUCUUGCAUGUUUCUUUUGCAGUUUCCAAGGCAAGGCUUACAACAGACACAGCAGCAACAACAGACAGCGGCGCUGGUCAGGCAGCUCCAGAAGCAGCUCUCUAGUAACCAGCCACAACAAGGAGUGAACCAGUACGGGCAUCCUUCACACUUCUGAAUCAGAGAUGGAAGGCGUCAUGUUACGUUUGCACUGAAGAACAGAACAUUCAAAAUUCAAUGCACUAGUUAUUGCUAGAAAGCAGUCUUUAAUUUUCUUAUUAUUUCAAUAAUUAUUUUUUGUGCUGCAGUUGAUGUGAGUAUGUAACAAGGUGGGUUUUUUGGGUUUGGGGAAUUUUUUUUUUGCAUUUAACUAGAUUUAAAUGUAUGGACUUGUGGGCCUAUUUGAAGAAUGUUAUUGCAGAUUUUAUGAAUUUGGUGCUUUUUAGGUCCUGUUACUUUUAAAGGGGACAAAGAAUGCUGGAUUUAUUUAUUUGUGGGAAACACUUCUUUUGGUUUUUUAUUCUUGUUUCUGUUUUUUUGUUGGUUUGUGUUGUUUUUUUUUUUUUUUAAAGAACUGCACUGGACCAAACUACUGAACUGAAAGGCACUUCCGAUUUUGGCAUAAAAGUUAAUUUGUUCAUUAAAAUGUUCACCUCUUUCUUUCUUGGUAGAACGAGCAUCAAUUUAAAUUGUGUUUAUUUGACUGCAAUUUUCAUAUGCACUUUAUAAAGUUCUUUGUUUAAAGUACCAAUUUUCUCUUGCUCUUAUUGUGGUAAGAAGGUGCUGAAGUGGGUUUAUUGCUUGUAUUAGAACUUCUUAAAGUUUAUAUUAAAAGCCACAAUGUAAUGUUAAUAAACCUACUAGAAGUAGCAGUGUUUCAUAUUUGGUGUUUUUAAUAUCAAGCUCACUGGUGAUCAGUUCUAAUGGAGUGCACGACACAGUAACAAGGAUUGAACGGUCAAGGCGGGUUUUGCUCUGCUCGCAUAGGGAAAUCUCCGGGUCCUGGUAGAG
rnacentral:lncRNA from 1 species